GCUACACGGUGUUUCGGGGCCUCGUUCACAAGGCCCUGCUCUGUGCCUUCUUUCAGGGUCUCCUGCACAGGCUCUGCCCGCUUUUUCAGCCCCAGACCAGCUCACAUUCAGAUCACCGAGCACAAAUGCCACAGAUGAAGGCUUUCCUGGCUCACCUCUUGAUGCAGGAAAAAACCUGAGACCAGUUUGGGCUGACGCAGGACAUCCUGCCUCAUGAAUUCAUCCCAUUCCUUCAGGGGUUUAUGUCAGCUUAUAUCAAUACAUAUCCCCAAAAGAGAAAGAAGAAAUGGGCAGAAUGCCUGACUCAGAGAGGAACAACAUCCGACCCUGUGGGAACAUAACAAGAGGUGGCGUGCUAGCCCCUUGGUGUUCCAGAUGCCUGUGACCUUCAGUGUUCACGGUUAUAGAGUAAGAGCAGCUGCCUCUCACAACAAGAAUCCUGGAACAUUAUGACUGGCUCAGCUUGGGAAAAGGGCCCAUUCCUGAUUUAAUCACUGCACCCAGAGAGAUGGGGGUGGCUCUGUGGGUCACCUCGCCUAAGCCAUCCACUCCUUCAGCAGGAAGAUGGUAUCAUUCCACCUGCACUACAAGGUCUCAGGAGGCUUCCAUGGAAUGGUGGGGGGGUCAGUCCCCCGAAGAAGGGGUGCUGGACAGACUAGAAAAAUCAUACCUGCUACAGCUAGUCAUUGACAGAAGUGGAUCAGGAGGUCAGCAGUAAUCUGGACUUAAAGAAAAUGGCCGAUGGGCAAACUGAAAAAUGCGCAUUUGGGAUAAGGAACUAACGUCUGGAGUUUCAUCUGAACCUUUGAAGUGUAAAGGAGGACAAAUUAUAAAGCAAAACAAAACAAAAACACUGGUUUGUGUUUUCAUGAGAAAAAAAGAGGCCUCCUGAGAUGCGUAUCUCUUUUGCUGACAGUCCCAGCUGGAAUAAGGAAAUUUAACAAGUGCAUUUUAACAAGUGAAAACUUUUUUUUCGUUUUCUGGAAACUUGUAAACCUCAAAAACAAUUCUGUUAUUAUCUUCUCCAUUUUUAUUCAGUCAGGUCUACUUAAAAGUCCUUGUACUUUAGUCGAGUUAAGCGGUAAGAACAAAGGCUGUAGUGGGAAAUUGUCUGUUGCAAUGUAUUAAAGAGCUAAUACAUGAAUGCAUUUCACUUGGGCAUAGCCCCAUCACAGUCCAUGUGAGGGAAUAGAAGCAAUAAGAUGUUUUGUUUUUUAAAUCAGCCAUCAUUAAAUUUUUCUAGCAUGUUUCGCUUUGUCCUAGAUCAGUGGUUCUCCAGCUGUACCACGCACCAGAUUCACGUGGAAGGCUUGUUAAAACCCAGGUGGCUCAGUCUCCUCGCCAGUUUCUGAUUCAGCAGGUCUAUGGUGGGCCCAAAUGUGUGCGAUUCUUGCCAGUUUCCAUGUGAUGUUGAUGCUGCCCAUCUUGGGCCGCACUUGGAGAACCACUCAUCUUGGUGAAUCUCUGCGCUCAGCUCUGGAUGAGUCUUCAUGAGCCACAGAUCCAGCCGAGAGGUGGGUUGAGGCUGCCCUGCGGGGUACCAGUAACCAGAUUUUCUAGCAGUAGGGAUAGUCUGAAUUCCAGGAGGGGAGGUUAUGGGUGAACGCAGGACUCCAGCUCAUACGUGGGUAAAACAGCUGGGU